AGAUAUGGUUGGUCCGGUAACCGACGCACCACUGUUAUUUAAUGCUGCGACAGGUCUCCCGUCUACCCACAAGCUAAACACGCGUCUCACACGGCGUCGUCGUGAUGCUUUUCCAGUUCCCAACUUGGCGCACUCUUCCGUUUUACUCCUACAUUUAACGCUGCUUCCUAGAAUUGCAUCGAAACCCCACCUACGAAGGAAUCUCUCUCUUUCUCUUUCUCUUUCUUUAUCUCUAUCCUGCAUAUAUAUAAAUCCAUCCACCCAUUCCAACCCUUUUUCAAGAGUCCUAUAUCUCCAGAUCUGCUGCAAUACGAACCGAGACAUUCCUUUAAUAAACAAACGACACAAGGUGAAAGGAGAACAUGGGUCACAAUCAUCAUCACCAUAAUGAAAGGGUUAGUCCAUAUGAUGAUCCAUUCCUGGCGUGCUUUUGCUGCCCUUGUUACCUGGUCUCCUCCAUGUUCAGAGGGAUUGGGAGGUGCAUGUUUACGGCUUGUUACCCAGUCAUGCAUUGCUUUGGAUGGGAUAGAGAUCAAGGACCCCAGCAUCACCACCACCACAGGCAUUCCUAUUGAUCCUCAUUUUGGACGUCAACAAGGUUCUACAGUUGACACUUUUAGGUUCUUGGUAGUCCAAUUUUUAUUGUAGUGGUCAUGUAAUUGAUAACAAAAAUUGUACUGGUCAUGGGAUUUAGUGAGUGAGAUUUUAGGUGUAGGCUGCUAAUCCUGUUACGAUAUGAGAGUUUUGUGCAUACGGUAUUUGAUUUCUUCUCCAUAUAGUGUCCCCUGGAAUUCAUAUCCUUUCAUGAAUCUCCAUUUUUUUUUUUAAUCGCGUUUAUGAUCAUUUGAUUCAUUGAUGGGUUUGAGUGUUGUUUGA